rnacentral:tRNA from 1 species
GGGGAUGUAGCUUAGAUAGUAGAGCGCUCGCUUUGCAUGCGAGAGAUAUAGGGAUCAAUACCUCGCAUGUCCA